UCGUAGACCCGAAACCAGGUGAUCUACCCAUGUCCAGGGUGAAGUUCAGGUAACACUGAAUGGAGGCCCGAACCCACGCACGUUGAAAAGUGCGGGGAUGAGGUGUGGGUAGCGGAGAAAUUCCAAUCGAACCUGGAGAUAGCUGGUUCUCCCCGAAAUAGCUUUAGGGCUAGCCUUAAGUGUAAGAGUCUUGGAGGUAGAGCACUGAUUGGACUAGGGGUCCUCAUCGGAUUACCGAAUUCAGUCAAACUCCGAAUGCCAAUGACUUAUCCUUAGGAGUCAGACUGCGAGUGAUAAGAUCCGUAGUCAAAAGGGAAACAGCCCAGACCGCCAGCUAAGGUCCCAAAGUGUGUAUUAAGUGGAAAAGGAUGUGGAGUUGCUUAGACAACUAGGAUGUUGGCUUAGAAGCAGCCACCAUUUAAAGAGUGCGUAAUAGCUCACUAGUCGAGUGACUCUGCGCCGAAAAUGUACCGGGGCUAAAUACACCACCGAAGCUGCGGAUUGAUACCGAAUGGUAUCAGUGGUAGGGGAGCGUUCUAAGGACAGUGAAGUCAGACCGGAAGGACUGGUGGAGUGCUUAGAAGUGAGAAUGCCGGUAUGAGUAGCGAAAGACGGGUGAGAAUCCCGUCCACCGAAUGCCUAAGGUUUCCUGAGGAAGGCUCGUCCGCUCAGGGUUAGUCAGGACCUAAGCCGAGGCCGACAGGCGUAGGCGAUGGACAACAGGUUGAUAUUCCUGUACCACCUCUUUAUCGUUUGAGCAAUGGAGGGACGCAGAAGGAUAGAAGAAGCGUGCGAUUGGUUGUGCACGUCCAAGCAGUUAGGCUGAUAAGUAGGCAAAUCCGCUUAUCGUAAAGGCUGAGCUGUGAUGGGGAAGCUCCUUAUGGAGCGAAGUCUUUGAUUCCCCGCUGCCAAGAAAAGCUUCUAGCGAGAUAAAAGGUGCCUGUACCGCAAACCGACACAGGUAGGCGAGGAGAGAAUCCUAAGGUGUGCGAGAGAACUCUGGUUAAGGAACUCGGCAAAAUGACCCCGUAACUUCGGGAGAAGGGGUGCUUUCUUAACGGAAAGCCGCAGUGAAUAGGCCCAAGCGACUGUUUAGCAAAAACACAGCUCUCUGCGAAGCCGUAAGGCGAAGUAUAGGGGGUGACACCUGCCCGGUGCUGGAAGGUUAAGGAGAGGGGUUAGCGUAAGCGAAGCUCUGAACUGAAGCCCCAGUAAACGGCGGCCGUAACUAUAACGGUCCUAAGGUAGCGAAAUUCCUUGUCGGGUAAGUUCCGACCCGCACGAAAGGUGUAACGAUUUGGGCACUGUCUCAACCAGAGACUCGGUGAAAUUAUAGUACCUGUGAAGAUGCAGGU
rnacentral:rRNA from 1 species